ACUUUGCCCGAGAUAAAAACGCCAAACCCUAAGAACCAGGUCAUCGUUCCAAAGUUCUGCAACGUGGACUUCCUCAACCCGCUUCAUCUCUACUGCCACGCCUUCUCAACGAGACGAGUCUAGCCGACAAGGUCGCCGACGAUUGUUGCCGCUUCGGCUCCAUCCCAGAAUCCCCCGCCAAUGCCACCGUGCUAAUCCUUUUCCUCUUCCCCACACAUCUGGAUUCUUUGAACUCCUCACCGAUGAAGAAAGAGAGGAAACUCACCAAUAGAACAACGUUAUAUCCUAGUGACCCACUUCGAUCCCAUUCGCGAAAAAUUGCAAAUCCAUGCUCUGGUUUAAUAUUUGUGUUUUUUGUUAUGGAUCAAUAGCUUGGUAAGUUGUUUAGGAUAGUCUUUGUUUUGGCUGAUGUUGAAUAGUUUUGAAUAUUCUUAUGCUUCACUAGCUAAAUGAGAUAUUCUGUUUCACACAUCUGUAUGUGUUUACUUAUUGUUACUACAUUUCCUCUGCUUUUAUGAAAGAAAUGUUGAGCAAGAGCCAAAUUAUAAUGUUUUAUGAGGAUUCAUCAUGAUUUAUAUUUGCUUAAUAUGAUGGAAGCUAAUUACCGUGUAUCUAUGUAAUAAGAAUUACUAUUAAGGAGAUAUUGAGCUUUUCAACUAGGAAAUGGAAGUAAAGUUCAAAGAAUGAGUUUUCUGCCAUGUGGGCUACCUUUUAUGAUUCUGUUACUUGUACCUAAAAUGUAAUUUGCAAAAUAGUUAGGUUUCUCCUUGGCAUGAUAUUCCAUUGCCAUCGGGUGAUGAUAUCUUCAACUUCAUUGUUGAGAUUCUUAAAGAAUCAAGUGCAAAGACGGAGGUUGCAACUGAUGAAGCUUUCACUCCGAUAAAACAAGAUACAGAAAAGGGAAAGCUUUGAUAUUACCCCUACAAUAUACAUUGGAACUAUGGCUUACUUCCACAAACAUGGGAAAAUCCAUCUUUUGCAAACUCUAAAGUUGAAGGAGAAGUGGGAGAUAACGAUCCAGAGAGGAAAAUAUGUGAGGUUUUGAAGGUCAAACCCUUGGGUGCAUUAGCCAUGAUUGAUGAAGGGGAACUUGAUUCGAAAAUAGUUGCAAUCUCAUUAAAUGAUACAAAGGCAUCAUUGGUGAAUGAUGUUAAUGACGUUGAGAAGCAUUUCACUUUGGGUACUGUAGUUGCAGGUCUUUGAGCUGAGCAAAGAAGUUUCAAGGUAAGGGGAGCUAGAUUCUUUUCUAUGGGUUGUAUGAACAAUACAUGUGCUGAAAUCUGUAAUAUUUUGUUGUUUGAUGAACAAGUUUGUGUUUAGAAUGACCUUGUUUUGUAUGGAUCUGUAUGAGUGAAUGUGGAACUGAAAAUUGCUGUUGUAAAUGGAUCUCGGGAAAAUGGCUAGAAAUGGCACUCUGGAGUCUGGUUGCAAUUCUGCAUAAUUCUGCAGAACGCGACAGAUAGCGUUCGGCCAUGCCUUGAUUUGGUAUCGUUCGGUUAGGUGUUGAUUUGGUACCAUUCGGUUAGGUGUUGAUUUGGUACUGUUCCGUUAAAUGUUGAUUUGGUACCGUUCGGUGAGGUGUUGAUUUGGUACCGUUCAGUUAGGUGUUGAUUUGGUACCAUUCGGUUAGAUGUUGAUUUGGUACCGUUCGGUCAAGUGUUGAUUUGGUACCGUUCGGUUAGAUGUUGUUUUGGUACCGUUCGGUCAGUGUUGAUUUGGUACCGUUCGGUUAGGUGUUGAUUUUGUACCGUUCGGUUAGGUGUUGAUUUUGUAUCGUUCGGUUAGGUGUUGAUUUUGUACAGUUCGGUUAGGUGUUCAUCUGGUACCGUUCGGUUAGAUGUUUAUUUGGUACCGUUCGGUCAAGUGUUCAAUUGGUACCGUUUGGUCAAGUGUUGAUUUGGUACCGUUCGGUUAGGUGUUGAUUUGGUAUCGUUCGGUCAGGUGUCGAGUUGUUACCGUUCGGUCAGGUGUUGAGUUGUUACCAUUCAGUCAGGUGUUGAGUUGUUAUCGUUUGGUCAGGUGAUUAUUUGGUACCGUUCGGUUAGGUAUUGAGUUGUUACCAUUCGGUCAGGUGUUGAGUUGUUACCGUUCGGUCAAGUGUUAAUUUGGUAUCAUUCGGUCAUGUGUUGAGUUGUUACCGUUCGGUCAAGUGUGGAUUUGCGACCGUUCGGUCAUGUGUUGACUUGGUAGCAUUCGGUCAUGUGUUGAUUUGGUAGCGUUCGGUCUUGAUGGUGCUCGGUUUUGAUACUGCUCGGUCUUAGUGGUACGUGGUCUAAGUAGCGUUCGGUCAAGGCUCUAGGUGUUCGACCAAGGCUCUAAGCGUUCGGCCGAGGCUCUAAGCGUUCGGCCAUGACUCUAGGGGAUCGACCAAGGCUCUAGGUGUUCGGCCAAGGCUCUAAGCGUUCGACCAAGGCUUUUAAGCGUUCGGCCAGGGCUCUAGGUGUUCGGCCAAGGCUCUAAGCGUUCGGCCAAGGCUCUAAGCAUUCGACCAAGGCUCUAAGCAUUCGGCCAAGGUUCUGAGUGUUCGGCCAAAGCUCUCAGUGCUCGGCCAAAGCUCAUAGCGUUCGGUUCAAGCUCAUUUGCUCUUGUUUUGGUUUGAAUUAAGUGUGCGGAAUGAUUGACAUGCAUAGUAUGAUCGUGGUAAUGUUAUUAUAUUGAAAGAAUGUGAAUGUAUGAGACAUGUUUGGUGGUUGAAUGUAACAAGUAUGGGUAAUGGACGUAAUUCCAUGGAUCUCAAGGGAGGUCACAUGGUGGUGCCCUAUGUGUAAUGAACGUAAUUUCAUGGCCUCAAGGUUGAGGAUUCAUGGUGGUGCCCUCAGUGUUUGGAAUGAAUGCAUGGUAGCUCAGUCUUGGGGGUUUUCCUGACGCUCCAAAGGUCUUUCAUUCUCAAGUAGAGAGGAUUGAUCCAUGUGGUGAGGAGUAGCAGGAGGUCCUAGUCUUGGAUGCUUCUAGUAUGGCCCAAGGUGAGUGUUAACGGAAUAACCUCGUGAGUGUGGUAGGGUGAAACCCAUUGGCAAUGACUUUGAAAAGCAGUAGAGGCCACCAUGAGUGCAUAACCUGCCAUAGCUCGGCAAUCAUUCUAGUCCGGACGAGUCGGUUUAUAAAGUAACAAGUCUUGUGAUGUCAUUUUACCAUGUUUGAGUGACUUUUGCAUGUCGUGUGAUGUUGAAUAACAUGCUUUUUAUAUCUAGCUCACCCAUGCUUGUUUGUGUUGCUUGUGUAUGUUUCUUUUGCGAUGAUCAUCCACUUGGGUGGAAGCAGAUGACGAGGAGGAUACUUUGGAAAUAGCUCUUGAUGGGGACAGCAGUGCUGCAGCUUAGAUUUGCUAGCUUUUAUUCCAUGAACUCAUUAUUUUGAAGAACUUUAGUGCAUUUAAAGUUUUAAAUUCUCUAAAAUUUCCAAGGAGAAACUCUAAUACUCUAGUUUUCAAUUCCACACUAUUCUAAGGAUGACUGUAACCCUUAAUUACUCUUGAUUGCUUUCCUAUAUUAUGCAUGAUGACAUCUUUAUUAUAUA